CUCGUAGGUGGCCAACUAAGUCAUACGUGAAAUCCCUCGGCUUAACCGGGGAACUGCGUCUGAUACUGGAUGGCUUGAGGUUGGGGAGAGGGAUGCGGAAUUCCAGGUGUAGCGGUGAAAUGCGUAGAUAUCUGGAGGAACACCGGUGGCGAAGGCGGCAUCCUGGACCAAUUCUGACACUGAGGAGCGAAAGCCAGGGGAGCAAACG
rnacentral:rRNA from 1 species